GCCGGGCAUGGUGGCACAUGCCUGUAGUCCCAGCUACUCGGGAGGCUGAGGCUGGAAGAUCACUUGAGCCCAGGAGUUCAGGGCUGUAGUGCGCUAUGCCAAUUGGGUGUCCACACUAAGUUCGGCAUCAACAUGGUGACCUCCUGGGAGCGAGGGACCACCAGGUUGCCGUGAGCCAAGAUUACACCACUGCACUCCAGCCUGGGCCACAGAGCGAGACUCUGUCUCA
rnacentral:sRNA from 1 species